rnacentral:rRNA from 1 species
CGCACGGGUGAGUAACACGUAUCCAACCUGCCGUCUACUCUUGGACAGCCUUCUGAAAGGAAGAUUAAUACAAGAUGGCAUCAUGAGUCCGCAUGUUCACAUGAUUAAAGGUAUUCCGGUAGACGAUGGGGAUGCGUUCCAUUAGAUAGUAGGCGGGGUAACGGCCCACCUAGUCUUCGAUGGAUAGGGGUUCUGAGAGGAAGGUCCCCCACAUUGGAACUGAGACACGGACCAGACUCCUACGGGAGGCAGCAG